rnacentral:rRNA from 1 species
AGAGUUUGAUCCUGGCUCAGAACGUACGCUGGCGGCACGCCUAUACAUGCAAGUCGAACGAAGUAGCAAUACUUAGUGGCAGACGGGUGAGUAACAUGUGGGUAUCUUCCCUUUGGUGAGGAAUAACACGAGGAAACUUGUGCUAAUACCUCAUAAGUCUUUACGGAGAAAGCUUUAUGCGCCAUUGGAUGAGCCCGCACUUGAUUAGUUUGUUGGUGGGGUAAUGGCCUACCAAGACAAUGAUCAAUAGCUGAUUUGAGAGGAUGAUCAGCCACAUUGGGACUGAGACACGGCCCAAACUUCUACGGAAGGCAGCAGUAGGGAAUCUUGCACAAUGGAGGAAACUCUGAUGCAGCGAUGCCGCGUGAGUGAAGAAGGCCCUUGGGUUGUAAAGCUCUUUCGUCGGGGAAGAAAAUGACUGUACCCGAAUAAGAAGGUCCGGCUAACUUCGUGCCAGCAGCCGCGGUAAUACGAAGGGACCUAGCGUAGUUCGGAAUUACUGGGCUUAAAGAGUUCGUAGGUGGUUAAAAAAGUUGGUGGUGAAAUCCCAGAGCUUAACUCUGGAACUGCCAUCAAAGCUUUUUAGCUAGAGUAAGAUAGAGGGAAGUAGAAUUUCUAGUGUAGAGGUGAAAUUCGUAGAUAUUAGAAAGAAUACCAAUUGCGAAGGCAGCUUUCUGGAUCAUUACUGACACUGAGGAACGAAAGCAUGGGUAGCGAAGAGGAUUAGAUACCCUCGUAGUCCAUGCCGUAAACGAUGUGUGU